GAUGAACGCUGGCGGCGUGCCUAAUACAUGCAAGUCGAGCGAACAGACGAGGAGCUUGCUCCUCUGACGUUAGCGGCGGACGGGUGAGUAACACGUGGAUAACCUACCUAUAAGACUGGGAUAACUUCGGGAAACCGGAGCUAAUACCGGAUAAUAUAUUGAACCGCAUGGUUCAAUAGUGAAAGACGGUUUUGCUGUCACUUAUAGAUGGAUCCGCGCCGCAUUAGCUAGUUGGUAAGGUAACGGCUUACCAAGGCAACGAUGCGUAGCCGACCUGAGAGGGUGAACGGCCACACUGGAACUGAGACACGGUCCAGACUCCGACGGGAGGCAGCAGUAGGGAAUCUUCCGCAAUGGGCGAAAGCCUGACGGAGCAACGCCGCGUGAGUGAUGAAGGUCUUCGGAUCGUAAAACUAUGUUAUUAGGGAAGAACAAAUGUGUAAGUAACUAUGCACGUCUUGACGGUACCUAAUCAGAAAGCCACGGCUAACUACGUG
rnacentral:rRNA from 1 species